UUCGAGUGGCGGACGGGUGAGUAACGCGUGGGUAACCUGCCUUACACAGGGGGAUAACACCUGGAAACAGGUGCUAAUACCGCAUAAGCGCACAGGGCCGCAUGGCCCGGUAUGAAAAACUCCGGUGGUGUAAGAUGGACCCGCGUCUGAUUAGCUUGUUGGCGGGGUAGAGGCCCACCAAGGCGACGAUCAGUAGCCGGCCUGAGAGGGUGGACGGCCACAUUGGGACUGAGACACGGCCCAAACUCCUACGGGAGGCAGCAG
rnacentral:rRNA from 1 species